CCCUUAGAUGUUCUGGGCCGCACACGCGCUACACUGAAGGAGGCAGCGUGUACUCCUGGAUCGAAAGAUUUGGGUAACCCGCGAAUCUCCUUCGUGCUAGGGAUUGAGGUUUGCAAUUAUCCUUCAUGAACGAGGAAUUCCCAGUAAGUGCAAGUCAUAAGCUUGCGCUGACUACGUCCCUGCCCUUUGUACACACCGCCCGUCGCUACUACCGAUUGAAUGAUUUAGUGAGGACUUCGGACUGGGACCGAUGCGGCUUUCGGGCUGCGUCGGUAUUCUGGAAAGAUGUCCAAACUGUAUCAUUUAGAGGAAGCAAAAGUCGUAACA
rnacentral:rRNA from 1 species